rnacentral:rRNA from 1 species
ACGUCACGAAAGUCGGUAACACCCGAAGCCGGUGGCCCAACCCCCUUGUGGGGAGGGAGCUGUCGAAGGUGGGACUGGCGAUUGGGACGAAGUCGUAACAAGGUAGCCGUACCGGAAGGUGCGGCUGGAUCACCUCCUUUCUAAGGAG